UUUCAGUUUUAUUCUUGCUGUUCUGUUCAGUUUUUUCUUGUUUUAUAUGUAAGUUUUUGCGUGAUUGGAUCUUGUCCUCUUGAUGGGUUGGGAUUAAAAAACAAAUGGUAUUUAAUUUUGUUGUUAAUUCGCAUUAUUUAAUUUUAUAAAUCUUGGCUUCUUGGAUUUGGCAAUGAUUUUUGGUACCGGUUGAGUUUGUGCCAGCAGCCGCGGUUAUACAUUAGGUGCUAUUGAAUAUUUUCGGUUAUGCAGUUUUAUUAUUUUUUUGUGGUGGGUCGUGAAAUUGAUUUGCUUGAUGGGUAAAAUCUUUAUUUUUGGUUAAUGCCUUCUUUGCUUGUAAGCUGUUAAAUCUUUACUGUAAACUAGGAUUAGAUACCCUAUUAUUUUUGAUGUUAAUUUGGUUGGCCUGGGUAUUAUUAGUUAAGUUCUUGAAACCCAAAGAAUUUGGCGGUACUCUUUUACCUUUCAGAGGAAUCUGCCCCGUUGUCGAUAAUCCGCGUUGGACCUUACUUAAUUUUUUUUGUUUGUAUACCGCCGUUUUAUUGAGGAUCAUUUUUAGUGUUUUAAUUUUCUAAUUUCAUUAUUAUGAUUUAUUUCAGGUCAAGGUGCAGCUUGUUUUUGAGUGUGAGGUGGAUUACAUUGUGUUGUUGAAUUUUUUGGAUUGUUGAAUGUAAUUUUGGUAUGAAAGUGGAUUUGAUUGUAAUCUGUUGAAGAUUGUUUAGAUGAUGUUGGUUCUAGAGUAUGUACACAUCGCCCGUCGCUCUCAUUUUUGUUGAGAUAAGUCGUAACAUAGUGGUUGUACCGGAAGGUGUGGCUGGAUUGAA
rnacentral:ncRNA from 1 species